CCUCAUGGAUACUGGCUGGAUUCAUUUCCACUGCACCAUAACGGGACCCCCCUGAAAGGAUCAUCUUCUAAUGAUAACAAACUAUUCCCUAACUUAUGGGUCCUGCAUGUUGCCACCGUCUGGGCUGCCAGUGUAUCGUACCUUUUGCCAAGUUGCCUUGAAACUCAGGCGGCUCAUUCACAUCCGUUACCUGGACCGUCAGGAUCUGCAGAGAAAAACUCAUGGAAAAGCUGAGAAAUGCGGAAAGGCGACAGAGGAUAAGGUGAAGGUUGAAGGCAUUGUCUUCUUUCCUGCCAGCUGUAUCUUUUUACAGCCAUCCAUGCACGUGACAGUAAGAACCACGUUUCUUCUGCUUCAGACUUGGUGCUUCUAACUGGUAUCUGAAGACUGUUACACCUGUGUCUGAGGUACUUUUUGGCUGUGGGAACGUGGCAGAUCACCUACCUUAACUGGUCCUUGGUCAUUUCUACCACUGAGAAGAUACCUACUCUGUAAAGUCCUCACGAGAAAAAAUAUAAAAACCACAUCUGAAGUCACUGUGAACUCACUCCAGCCCUAUUCAGAGGUGGACAGCCAGAAUCAAGUGCUCAGAAAUGGCAAGAGAGAUCCUGAGAAGGAAACAGCUGAUGUUUCGAAUGUUUGGGGGAGGGGCAGUAGAAAUGACUUUUUUUUUUCUCUCUCUCUAAAAGGCAUAAUUGAGACCAAAUUCACCAAGAGACACUGACAAAAAGUCAGGCUUAGAAACCAGUGGUUUAUGACCUCUCUGGCACCUUGAGUUUAGGAAUCCACAUGUGAUGUUUACUGAGUUGAAUUUUGAAGAAUGAAGCAAAAGUGUUUUGGUGGAAAUGCUGCUCAGUUCAACGUUAAGAACUGUUUCAGCUCAGGCUGCUUGUGGAAGGUAGUGAGUGCCCCGUGGCUGGAGGCAUCCCAGUGUGGACGGCAUAAUCGCCUGCCAGGGAUGGUAAGCAAGGGACUCUUGCCCUGCAGCCUGGUUAGGUUAGUGGUUGUGAAACCAGGCUGAUCAUUGGAAGCACAAGGAGAGCUUUUUGAAAUGGAGGUUUUGUGUCCACACACUCCUAAAUGAACCAGAACAAAUAUGUAUUUGAGGAGUUCCUGGUUAACGAAUCCGACUG